rnacentral:tRNA from 1 species
GGCCCUAUCGUCUAGCGGUUAGGAUGCCGGUUUCUCAGACCGGAGAUCACGGGUUCGAAUCCCGUUAGGGCUG